UUCCUUGUGGCUCAGCUGGUAAAGAAUCCACCUUCAAUGUGGGAAACCUGGGUUCGAUCCCUGGUUGGGAAG
rnacentral:tRNA from 1 species